UACGUAGGUGGCACGCGUUAUCCGGAUUUACUGGGAGUAAAGGGCGCUCAGGCGGCUCAGCAAGCCUGGGGUGAAAUCUCCCGGCUCAACCGGGAGGGGUCUCUGGAUACUGAUGGGCUUGAGGAAAGCAGAGGAAAGCGGAAUUCCCGGUGUAGCGGUGAUAUGCGUAGAUAUCGGGAGGAACACCAGUGGAGCAGGCGGCUUUCGGGGCUUUUCGUGACGCUGAGGCGCGAAAGCGUGGGGAGCGAACCGG
rnacentral:rRNA from 1 species